rnacentral:rRNA from 1 species
CAGCAGCCGCGGGAAUACGAAGGGGGCUAGCGUUGUUCGGAAUCACUGGGCGUAAAGGGUGCGUAGGCGGAUUCUUAAGUCAGGGGUGAAAUCCCGAGGCUCAACCUCGGAACUGCCUUUGAUACUGGGGAUCUUGAGUCCGGAAGAGGUGAGUGGAACUGCGAGUGUAGAGGUGAAAUUCGUAGAUAUUCGCAAGAACACCGGUGGCGAAGGCGGCUCACUGGUCCGGAACUGACGCUGAGGCACGACAGCGUGGGGAGCAAACAGGAUUAGAUACCCGCGUAGUCCCUGUCUCUUAUAC